CGGGCUUUGCUUCCGGGGCGGUAAGGGCAGCCACGUCAUCCCCCCGCUCCGCUCCCCAGCCGGGCAGUGGCUCGUGGGAGCCAAGAUGGCGGCGGCGGCGGCAGCGACAGCAGCAGCAGCAGCCAGUAUUCGGGAAAGGCAGACAGUGGCUUUGAAGCGUAUGUUGAAUUUCAAUGUGCCUCAUAUUAAAAACAGCACAGGAGAACCAGUAUGGAAGGUACUCAUUUAUGACAGAUUUGGCCAAGAUAUAAUCUCUCCUCUGCUAUCUGUGAAGGAGCUAAGAGACAUGGGAAUCACUCUGCAUCUGCUUUUACACUCUGAUCGAGAUCCUAUUCCAGAUGUUCCUGCAGUAUACUUUGUAAUGCCAACUGAAGAAAAUAUUGACAGAAUGUGCCAGGAUCUUCGAAAUCAACUAUAUGAAUCAUAUUAUUUAAAUUUUAUUUCUGCUAUUUCAAGAAGUAAACUGGAAGAUAUUGCAAAUGCAGCGUUAGCAGCUAGUGCAGUAACACAAGUAGCCAAGGUUUUUGACCAAUAUCUCAAUUUUAUUACUUUGGAAGAUGAUAUGUUUGUAUUAUGUAAUCAAAAUAAGGAGCUUGUUUCAUAUCGUGCCAUUAACAGGCCAGAUAUCACAGACACGGAAAUGGAAACUGUUAUGGACACUAUAGUUGACAGCCUCUUCUGCUUUUUUGUUACUCUGGGUGCUGUUCCUAUAAUCAGAUGUUCAAGAGGAACAGCAGCAGAAAUGGUAGCAGUGAAACUAGACAAGAAACUUCGAGAAAAUCUAAGAGAUGCAAGAAACAGUCUUUUUACAGGUGAUACACUUGGAGCUGGCCAAUUCAGCUUCCAGAGGCCCUUAUUAGUCCUUGUUGACAGAAACAUAGAUUUGGCAACUCCUUUACAUCAUACUUGGACAUAUCAAGCAUUGGUGCACGAUGUACUGGAUUUCCAUUUAAACAGGGUUAAUUUGGAAGAAUCUUCAGGAGUGGAAAACUCUCCAGCUGGUGCUAGACCAAAGAGAAAAAACAAGAAGUCUUAUGAUUUAACUCCGGUUGAUAAAUUUUGGCAAAAACAUAAAGGAAGUCCAUUCCCAGAAGUUGCAGAAUCAGUUCAGCAAGAACUAGAAUCUUACAGAGCACAGGAAGAUGAGGUCAAACGACUUAAAAGCAUUAUGGGACUAGAAGGGGAAGAUGAAGGAGCCAUAAGUAUGCUUUCUGACAAUACCGCUAAGCUAACAUCAGCUGUUAGUUCUUUGCCAGAACUCCUUGAGAAAAAAAGACUUAUUGAUCUCCAUACAAAUGUUGCCACUGCUGUUUUAGAACAUAUAAAGGUUCAUACAGGAAUAGAAACAGAACUGCAGUCUGUAGGUGAUUCUGCUGAUGUUUUCACUUCUAUAUGUAGUGUCUCUGUGAAAUGGCAAAAGGCUGUUCAGAUCUGUUUACCUGAGGUCAUUGUCUCUUGUGGAGGUGAUACAGAUACAGAUAUAGAUGUAUAGAUAUAUCACCAGGUGAAAUACAACAGAGAGCUAUAUUGAGAAUUUCCUUCAGGUCGGAGACUAGAACUUAUAGUUUGAGAAAAUUUUGGUUAAUUUACUUAUUCAAUCAUGUUUAUUGAGUGGCUCUAUGUAUAUUGUACUAGGCCCUGAAGAUACUGUAGUAAACAAGACAGACAAGUUCUCUGUUCUCUUGAAGCUUAUAUUGUAGUGACAGUAAACAGAGUAAGCAAAUUAGAAAACAAGUUAACUUCAGGCAUUUUAGUGACAUGAGAACAACAAAAACAGCAGGGUGAUGUGAGGCAAUGGGAUAUGAGAAUGGCUGAGAGGCCUACUCUGGAGUAAGUCUGCAAGUGAAAUCACCUUUGAUGAGGUGAUGUUUGAGUUGAGACAGGAAUCACAGAAAGGAGCCAAUUAGUGAAGAUCUCAGGGCCAACCAUGCCAGGCAGAGGGAAUAAGAAGUGCAAAGGCCCUACGACAAACAAAUUCGGUAUGUUUGAGAACCUAGAAAAAGACAAAUUGUGCUUUAUUGAGGAGGGAAAGAGUGAUGGUAGAAUAUGGAAUCAAAAAAAGUAGAAAUUUAAGUAUGAUAACUCAUUAGAGGUUAAUGACAUGAUCUGAUUUAUGUUUUAAAAUAAAGAAGACUGUGGAGGAUAAGGGACAAUGAGUUCUGGAAAUAAAAGUGGAACUGGAAGACAACUAUUAUAGAUGUGCAAGAAAAUUGGAUGUAUAUUUUGAAUAUGAAGAAAAAAUAAUGAGCAAAA